rnacentral:rRNA from 1 species
CGAUCAGCCACACUGGGACUGAGACACGGCCCAGACUCCUACGGGAGGCAGCAGCAGGGAAUCUUGCGCAAUGGGCGAAAGCCUGACGCAGCAACGCCGCGUGGGGGAUGAAGGCCUUCGGGUUGUAAACCCCUUUAGGGAGGGACGAAAUUGACGGUACCUCCAGAAUAAGCCCCGGCCAACUACGUGCCAGCAGCCGCGGU